GAUGAACGCUGGCGGCGUGCCUAAUACAUGCAAGUCGAGCGAACAGAUAAGGAGCUUGCUCCUUUGAAGUUAGCGGCGGACGGGUGAGUAACACGUGGGUAACCUACCUAUAAGACUGGGAUAACUUCGGGAAACCGGAGCUAAUACCGGAUAACAUUUAGAACCGCAUGGUUCUAAAGUGAAAGAUGGUUUUGCUAUCACUUAUAGAUGGACCCGCGCCGUAUUAGCUAGUUGGUAAGGUAACGGCUUACCAAGGCGACGAUACGUAGCCGACCUGAGAGGGUGAUCGGCCACACUGGAACUGAGACACGGUCCAGACUCCUACGGGAGGCAGCAGUAGGGAAUCUUCCGCAAUGGGCGAAAGCCUGACGGAGCAACGCCGCGUGAGUGACGAAGGGUUUCGGCUCGUAAAACUCUGUUAUUAGGGAAGAACAAAUGUGUAAGUAACUGUGCACAUCUUGACGGUACCUAAUCAGAAAGCCACGGCUAACUACGUGCCAGCAGCCGCGGUAAUACGUAGGUGGCAAGCGUUAUCCGGAAUUAUUGGGCGUAAGCGCGCGUAGGCGGUUUCUUAAGUCUGAUGUGAAAGCCCACGGCUCAACUGUGGAGGGUCAUUGGAAACUGGGGAACUUGAGUGCAGAAGAGGAAAGUGGAAUUCCAUGUGUAGCGGUGAAAUGCGCAGAGAUAUGGAGGAACACCAGUGGCGAAGGCGACUUUCUGGUCUGUAACUGACGCUGAUGUGCGAAAGCGUGGGGAUCAAACAGGAUUAGAUACCCUGGUAGUCCACGCCGUAAACGAUGAGUGCUAAGUGUUAGGGGGUUUCCGCCCCUUAGUGCUGCAGCUAACGCAUUAAGCACUCCGCCUGGGGAGUACGACCGCAAGGUUGAAACUCAAAGGAAUUGACGGGGACCCGCACAAGCGGUGGAGCAUGUGGUUUAAUUCGAAGCAACGCGAAGAACCUUACCAAAUCUUGACAUCCUUUGAAAACUCUAGAGAUAGAGCCUUCCCCUUCGGGGGACAAAGUGACAGGUGGUGCAUGGUUGUCGUCAACUCGUGUCGUGAGAUGUUGGGUUAAGUCCCGCAACGAGCGCAACCCUUAAGCUUAGUUGCCAUCAUUAAGUUGGGCACUCUAGGUUGACUGCCGGUGACAAACCGGAGGAAGGUGGGGAUGACGUCAAAUCAUCAUGCCCCUUAUGAUUUGGGCUACACACGUGCUACAAUGGACAAUACAAAGGGCAGCUAAACCGCGAGGUCAUGCAAAUCCCAUAAAGUUGUUCUCAGUUCGGAUUGUAGUCUGCAACUCGACUACAUGAAGCUGGAAUCGCUAGUAAUCGUAGAUCAGCAUGCUACGGUGAAUACGUUCCCGGGUCU
rnacentral:rRNA from 1 species